CCUAGGGAGGCAGCAGUGGGGAAUAUUGGACAAUGGGCGAAAGCCUGAUCCAGCCAUGCCGCGUGUGUGAAGAAGGCCUUCGGGUUGUAAAGCACUUUCAGUGGGGAAGAAAGCCUUGGGGCUAAUACCCUCGAGGAAGGACAUCACCCACAGAAGAAGCACCGGCUAACUCCGUGCCAGCAGCCGCGGUAAUACGGAGGGUGCGAGCGUUAAUCGGAAUUACUGGGCGUAAAGCGCGCGUAGGCGGUCUGAUAAGCCGGUUGUGAAAGCCCCGGGCUCAACCUGGGAACGGCAUCCGGAACUGUCAGGCUAGAGUGCAGGAGAGGAAGGUAGAAUUCCCGGUGUAGCGGUGAAAUGCGUAGAGAUCGGGAGGAAUACCAGUGGCGAAGGCGGCCUUCUGGACUGACACUGACGCUGAGGUGCGAAAGCGUGGGUAGCAAACAGGAUUAGAUACCCCAGUAGUC
rnacentral:rRNA from 1 species